UAGGGAAUCUUCGGCAAUGGGGGGAACCCUGACCGAGCAACGCCGCGUGAGUGAAGAAGGUUUUCGGAUCGUAAAGCUCUGUUGUUAAGGAAGAACGAGUGUGAGAAUUGAAAGUUCAUACUGUGACGGUACUUAACCAGAAAGGGACGGCUAACUACGUGCCAGCAGCCGCGGUAAUACGUAGGUCCCGAGCGUUGUCCGGAUUUAUUGGGCGUAAAGCGAGCGCAGGCGGUUAGAUAAGUCUGAAUUGAAAGGCAGUGGCUCAACCAUUGUAGGCUUUGGAAACUGUUUAACUUGAGUGCAGAAGGGGAGAGUGGAAUUCCAUGUGUAGCGGUGAAAUGCGUAGAUAUAUGGAGGAACACCGGUGGCGAAAGCGGCUCUCUGGUCUGUAACUGACGCUGAGGCUCGAAAGCGUGGGGAGCGAACAGG
rnacentral:rRNA from 1 species